UUUGCACGCCGUGCGUAACGUGCAUUCUGGCGGUGCCGGGAGCGGGGCGAGGAGGAGGGUGGGUAUGAGGCGGUAGCGGACCGCGGAGUCGAGACCUACCCGAACGACGCGGGCGAGCGGGGCUUUGGACGCCGGUGGAGACGCAGGCGAGACUCCAGCGGGAGGAAGAAGAGGCCUUUGCCAGCAGUCAGAGCAGCCAAGGGGCCCAAUCCCUCACAUUCUCCAAGUUUGAAGGAAAGAAAACCAACAAGAAGACCCGCAAGGUUACCACAGUGAAGAAAUCUUCAGUACGUCUUCCAGGGUCGGAUCAAAGAAGGAUAUUGAAAUGGAUUCCAGGCGUGUGCCUCGAGACAAGCUGGCCUGCAUCACCAAGUGCAGCAAGCACAUCUUCGAUGCCAUCAAGAUCACCUAGAACGAGCUGGCGUCAGCAGAUGACUUCCUCCCCACCCUCAUCUACAUUGUUUUGAAGGGCAACCCCCAUGCCUUCAGUCUAAUAUCCAGUAUAUCACGUGCUUCUGCAAUCCAAGCCGACUGAUGACUGGAGAGGAUGGCUACUAUUUCACCAAUCUGGUGAGUAAGUGAGUUCUUGGCGUUGUGGAGAAGGACUAGGAAGGUGGUGGUUUUGGGGAUGUGAUAGGUCACUCAGGCCCAUGACAGGUGAAUGCUUCUGUGUGAGAAGGCAGCACGGCUGAGGAAGCUCACUUUGCAUCAGGGAGCACAAGGACCAGGCCGUACAGACACUCCGCCUCCCCGCACUUGAUCAGAGAUUGUGUUUAUCCUACAGAAACAGAUGACAUGUGUUGGGCAUCACUCCCCACGGUCCUGGGUAGAAGAGUCCUUCACUUGGCAGGGCUUUUUCAACCAAUGAAUAAGGCAAAUUAUAUAUAAGUUAAUAAUGCCAUUUCGAACCGAGACAGAUGGCAGCUAAAUGAAGUUUAAUUAAAGAAUGAGCGCUGGGGCCCUUUUUAUUGGGUACUGCAUCUACUUCGACCACAAAAGACGAAGUGACCCCAACUUCAAGAACAGGCUUUGAGAUGGAAGAAAGAAACAGAAGCUUGCCAAGGAGAGAGCUGGGCUUUCCAAGUUACCUGACCUUAAAGAUGCUGAAGCUGUUCAGAAGUUCUUCCUUGAAGAAAUACAGCUUGGUGAAGAGUUACUAGCUCAAGGUGAAUAUGAGAAGGGCGUAGACCAUCUGACAAACGGAAUUGCUGUGUGUGGACAGCCACAGCAGUUACUGCAGGCCUUACAGCAAACUCUUCCACCACUAGUGUUCCAGAUGCUUUUGACUAAGCUCCCAACAAUUAGAGAAUUCUAAGUGCUCAGAGCUUGGCUGAAGAUGAUGUGGAAUGAGAAACAAAUGUUAACAUAAUAAAAUCUCAGUUAAAAAUAUUUAAAAAAUUCUUGGUAGUUGAGCAGCUCUGGGGGAAUAAGGGCAAAUAUCCUUGUUAUGAACUACACUGAAAUCUACCAAAGUUAAUGUUUACUUUGUGUAGGUCCAUUUGUCUAUUUUAUUUAUUUUUCCCAGUGAAAAGUGUAUUUUGAUAGAGAACUUUUCAUUUUAUAAAUACACUAUGAGUUACUGAAAAUUCAUAUCAUGGAUUUCAUUUAUUCCUGAAACAUAGUUAAAAUGUACAUAUGACAUGGCUUAUGUUAAAAAUACCCAGUGCUCAGUUUUGAAAGAUAGGCA
rnacentral:lncRNA from 1 species